UAGCAGAGGGUGCGAGCGUUGUCCGGAAUCACUGGGGCGUAAAGGCGCGUAGGGCGGCCUGAUAAGUAGGGGGUGAAAUCCUGUGGGCUUAACUGCAGGGCUGCCUCCUAGACUGUUAGGCUCGAGCACGGUAGAGGCAGAUGGAAUUCCCGGUGUAGCGGUGGAAUGCGUAGAGAUCGGGAAGAACAUCGGUGGCGAAGGCGGUCUGCUGGGCCGUUGCUGACGCUGAGGCGCGGACAGCGGUGGGGAGCAAACAGG
rnacentral:rRNA from 1 species